GCCUUCUUGGUGUAGUGGUCAGCACGCUCGGCGCGUAUUCGAGAUGUCCGUGGUUCGAAUCCCGGCGAAGGCA
rnacentral:tRNA from 1 species